rnacentral:rRNA from 1 species
GACGAACGCUGGCGGCGUGCUUAACACAUGCAAGUCGAACGGAAAGGCCCAGCUUGCUGGGUACUCGAGUGGCGAACGGGUGAGUAACACGUGGGUGAUCUGCCCUGUACUCUGGGAUAAGCCUGGGAAACUGGGUCUAAUACCGGAUAUGACCAACUGUCGCACGGUGGUUGGUGGAGAGCUUUUGCGGUGUGGGAUGGGCCCGCGGCCUAUCAGCUUGUUGGUGGGGUAAUGGCCUACCAAGGCGACGACGGGUAGCCGACCUGAGAGGGUGAUCGGCCACACUGGGACUGAGACACGGCCCAGACUCCUACGGGAGGCAGCAGUGGGGAAUAUUGCACAAUGGGCGCAAGCCUGAUGCAGCGACGCCGCGUGAGGGAUGACGGCCUUCGGGUUGUAAACCUCUUUCGCCAGGGACGAAGUGUGAGUGACGGUACCUGGAGAAGAAGCACCGGCCAACUACGUG